rnacentral:lncRNA from 1 species
AUGCAUUGUGUUGAUUUGAAAGAUGCACUUUCAGCCCUUAACGUCUCUGCCCUUUUGUUUAUCCACAGGCUGACGGAGAGAAGGCUGCCAAAGGCAAGGAGGAGCCAACUAGACGCUCCGCAAGGCUGUCUGCUAGACCAGCCCCUCCUAAACCCGCCCCAAAGCCGAAAAAAGCUGCCCCCAAGAAGGCAGCCAAAGGGAAGAAGGCCAACCCUGCUGAAAAUGGAGACGCCAAGGCAGACCAGGCGCAAAAGGUUGAAGCUGCAGCAGACGCCAAAUGAGAAGCGAUUGAAUUGUUUAAUUCUUCUGUGUACUUGGUGACUGUACAGUUUGAAAUAACUAUUUUUUACCAAGUUUUAUAUUAAGAAUAUCGUUUAUAGUUUAAUUGUUGUUUGCUUUCAUAUCCAUUUAUGCCCCAUCAUUAAUGAAGCCGCCCACCUUGCCAAAAUGGCUGAAUUGGUUUGUUUUUAAAAUAUAUUUUAAACACCAAACAUUCUCAUAAGGCAGCUAUAGUGUGUUUUUAAAAUGGUAUGGGAAAGAGUUUUUUCCAUUUUUUUUUCUUUUUUAAUUUUCAUUUUCCUUUUUUAUUUGUGUACUUAACAAUACUGUAUUUUACUUUUUUUCAUUAUGU